CCUGCAUGACCAUCUCAAUUCGUCUACAACUUUUCUAACAUUCAAUUGGGUAACAAAUGAAUCUGUUAUUUACACCAAAACCAACAAAUUAGGAACCUAUGUUAAAAAAUUUAUUUCUUUCGUGUUACCUCCUGCACGUUGUCGUUUCGAUUGGCUCCCAUGAACACGUCUGGCGGCUUCUUAGCGCAUCUUGAGUGAAACAAAUUUUGGAAGGAAGAAAAGUUCACAAUUUGUUAUGGUUUCAAGCUGUUGAAGAGCUAGGAACUACCAAAAAUGGUGUUUGUCGUCGGUGGAGGAGUGGAGAUGUUGCAGCCGAUUUCCAGGGUUUGUGUCAAAGAAGAGUGAAAUAUUCACAAAAAUUGAAUAGAAAGAAUAGUCGAUAUUUGGCUGAUGUACAGUGAGAGCGUAUGUUGGAAGCUACCCAAUGUCGAAAUCCGAGUCCCACAGUCAACAAUUAUGGCAUAGAGAAAUGUCCUUUUUUUGUCCACAACUGUCUUCAUAAAUGAACAGUGAACUGUGAGGGGAAAUGCAAA
rnacentral:lncRNA from 1 species